rnacentral:tRNA from 1 species
GCGGGCGUGGCGGAACUGGCAGACGCGCGGGAUUUAGGUUCCCGUGGCCGCAAGGCCGUGCAGGUUCGAUUCCUGUCGCCCGCA